rnacentral:rRNA from 1 species
GGGAAGGUUAGAGAAUCGUAACAAGGUUUCGCGUGGGUGAUGACCUGCGGAAGGAUCAUUAAUAAAACGAAUCUGCGGUUUAGGUCAGCCCUGACUGUAGUGUUUUAAACCAACUGUGAACUAUAAAACCUUAUUGCUUCGGUAGCUGGGUUUGGGUCUAACCGCCCUGCCCGUCAGCCUGCCGGCAGCAACCAAACCAAAACUUGCUUUAAAAAUUAUGUCUGAAACCAAUCAUUUUCGAAUGAAAAUUAAAACUUUCAACAACGGAUCUCUUGGUUCUCGCAUCGAUGAAGAACGCAGCGAAACGCGAUAGUUAAUGUGAAUUGCAGAAUUCAGUGAAUCAUCGAGUCUUUGAACGCACAUUGCGCCCAUCGGUAUUCCUUUGGGCAUGUCUGUUUGAGCGUCAUUUCAACUCUCUAUCCAUAAAUUCUUUUUGUGCGAUUAGGUUUUGAGCUCGGUUUUGAUGGGUCAAACCACCAGCCGGCUUUAAAGUUGAACGCUCUGCGGGUGACUUUCUACCUGACCGAACAUAGUAAAAUUUUUAUUCUUGUUCUACUUGGUACCAAGUUGUUUACCCAGCCUGAACAAACUUAUAUUUCUAAGGUUUGACCUCAGAUCAGACAAGGAUGCCCAGUUCGAACUUAAGCAUUUAAAGGGGGAGAAAAAAAGUGGUCUGCUUUUCUGUAACGUGAGAAAGGGUGUUUUCGAGAUGCCUUAGAACGUAUUUCAAAUUAUUAUUAUUUUUUCCUCUCAGUUGAAAAAGGAGAGGUUGUCUGGCAUAGCAGACAGUACACCCAAACAAGAUGCCAAACUUUCGGUGUUAGCGAGUCUGUGGG